CAUAAAGUGCAACCGCACGAAGUUUCGUAAUAAGUGGCGUAAGCCCACGAACAAAGGCGAGUCUAACAGUCGCU
rfam:Lactococcus lactis subsp. cremoris TIFN6 scaffold12.1_41, whole genome shotgun sequence.